rnacentral:rRNA from 1 species
UACGAAGGGGGCUAGCGUUGUUCGGAAUUACUGGGCGUAAAGGGCGCGUAGGCGGUCCUGAUCGUCGGAUGUGAAAGGCCUAGGCUCAACCUGGGAACUGCAUCCGAUACGGCGGGACUGGAGUGUGGGAGAGGUUGGUGGAAUUCCCAGUGUAGAGGUGAAAUUCGUAGAUAUUGGGAAGAACACCGGUGGCGAAGGCGGCCAACUGGACCACAACUGACGCUGAGGCGCGAAAGCGUGGGGAGCAAACAGG